rnacentral:tmRNA from 12 species
AAACUUGUCCUUGAGCCCUCAAAUCCCUAUCUUGGUCCCUGCCGGGGCAACUCGGCUAUGUCGGUAGACUGUCGCGUGGAAUAAACACUUCGGACCCGGGGGGCAGUACCCCGGCGCCUCCACCACCAGCCGCAGGCCGAAGAUUUUCGGCGGUUGCUGACGGGGGCGAAAUAGGAUCGACGAGUGCAAUAAAGACGCGGUUGCCGAUCGGUAUGGAUGCCACCGUGACGGCUCAAUCACACAAGUGCCAACGAUAACGAGGCGCUCGCUAUUGCUGCGUAACUGACGGCCUGACGGUCUGACGUUACAAAGCUAAAGCGCGGUUGGACCCCACCGGGCAACAGAAGGGGAUUCC